rnacentral:rRNA from 1 species
UACAGAGGUCUCGAGCGUUGUUCGGAUUCAUUGGGCGUAAAGGGUGCGUAGGCGGUCUGUUGCGUCGGGAGUGAAAACUUACAGCUUAACUGUGAGCGUGCUUCCGAUACGGGCAGACUUGAGGUAUUCAGGGGAGAACGGAAUUCCUGGUGUAGCGGUGAAAUGCGCAGAUAUCAGGAGGAACACCGGUGGCGAAGGCGGUUCUCUGGGAAUAUCCUGACGCUGAGGAGCGAAAGUGUGGGGAGCGAACAGG